rnacentral:rRNA from 1 species
AACAGGAUUAGAUACCCUGGUAGUCCACGCUGUAAACGAUGUCGACUUGGAGGUUGUGCCCUUGAGGCGUGGCUUCCGGAGCUAACGCGUUAAGUCGACCGCCUGGGGAGUACGGCCGCAAGGUUAAAACUCAAAUGAAUUGACGGGGGCCCGCACAAGCGGUGGAGCAUGUGGUUUAAUUCGAUGCAACGCGAAGAACCUUACCUACUCUUGACAUCCAGAGAAUUUGCUAGAGAUAGCUUAGUGCCUUCGGGAACUCUGAGACAGGUGCUGCAUGGCUGUCGUCAGCUCGUGUUGUGAAAUGUUGGGUUAAGUCCCGCAACGAGCGCAACCCUUAUCCUUUGUUGCCAGCACGUAAUGGUGGGAACUCAAAGGAGACUGCCGGUGAUAAACCGGAGGAAGGUGGGGAUGACGUCAAGUCAUCAUGGCCCUUACGAGUAGGGCUACACACGUGCUACAAUGGCAUAUACAAAGAGAAGCGAACUCGCGAGAGCAAGCGGACCUCAUAAAGUAUGUCGUAGUCCGGAUUGGAGUCUGCAACUCGACUCCAUGAAGUCGGAAUCGCUAGUAAUCGUAGAUCAGAAUGCUACGGUGAAUACGUUCCCGGGCCUUGUACACACCGCCCGUCACACCAUGGGAGUGGGUUGCAAAAGAAGCAGGUAGCUUAACCUUCGGGAGGACGCUUACCACUUUGUGAUUCAUGACUGGGGUGAAGUCGUAACAAGGUAACC